rnacentral:rRNA from 1 species
CCGUAAACCAUUGUGAACGUUACCUUAUACCGUUGCUUCGGCGGGCGGCCCGGGCCUCACCCGGCGCCCCCCGGCCCCCCGUGGGGCGCCCGCCGGAGGUACACCAAACUCUUGCAUUGUAUGGCCUCUCUGAGUAUUCUGUACUGAAUAAGUCAAAACUUUCAACAACGGAUCUCUUGGUUCUGGCAUCGAUGAAGAACGCAGCGAAAUGCGAUAAGUAAUGUGAAUUGCAGAAUUCAGUGAAUCAUCGAAUCUUUGAACGCACAUUGCGCCCGCCAGUAUUCUGGCGGGCAUGCCUGUUCGAGCGUCAUUUCAACCAUCAAGCCCCGGGCUUGUGUUGGGGACCUGCGGCUGCCGCAGGCCCCGAAAACCAGUGGCGGGCUCGCUGUCACCCCGAGCGUAGUAGUUACACCUCGCCCAGGGCGUGCCGCGGGUUCCGGCCGUUAAACCCCCCAUACCACAAGGUUGACCUCGGAUCAGGUAGGAAGACCCGCUGAACUUAAGCAUAUCAAUAAGCGGAGGAAAAGAAACCAACAGGGAUUGCCCUAGUAACGGCGAGUGAAGCGGCAACAGCUCAAAUUUGAAAUCUGGCCUCGGCCCGAGUUGUAAUUUGCAGAGGAAGCUUUGGGCGCGGCACCGACCGAGUCCCCUGGAACGGGGCGCCAUAGAGGGUGAGAGCCCCGUAUGGUCGGACGCCUAGCCUGUGUAAAGCUCCUUCGACGAGUCGAGUAGUUUGGGAAUGCUGCUCAAAAUGGGAGGUAAAUUUCUUCUAAAGCUAAAUACCGGCCAGA